AGUGAACGCUGGCGGCAGGCCUAACACAUGCAAGUCGAGCGGCAGCGCGGUGUAGCAAUACACUGGCGGCGAGCGGCGGACGGGUGAGGAAUGCGUCGGAAUCUGCCUCUUUGUGGGGGAUAACGUAGGGUAACUUACGCUAAUACCGCAUACGACCUACGGGUGAAAGUGGGGGACCUUCGGGCCUCACGCAGAGAGAU
rnacentral:rRNA from 1 species